CAGUAGCCACGGUAAUACAUAGGGUGCGAGCGUUAAUCGGAAUUACUGGGCGUAAAGCGUGCGCAGGCGGUUUUGUAAGACAGGCGUGAAAUCCCCGGGCUCAACCUGGGAAUGGCGCUUGUGACUGCAAAGCUAGAGUGCGGCAGAGGGGGAUGGAAUUCCGCGUGUAGCAGUGAAGUGCGUAGAUAUGCGGAGGAACACCGAUGGCGAGGGCAAUCCCCUGGACCUGUACUGACGCCCAUGCACGAAAGCGUGGGGAGCAAACAGGAUUAGAUACCCCGGUAGUCCCUGUCUCUUAUAC
rnacentral:rRNA from 1 species